AGCUUUAUAGUCAAAAAUGAUAUCAAAUUGCAAAUUUGAAGGAGGGAUUUCCCUAAGGCUU
rnacentral:tRNA from 1 species